rnacentral:rRNA from 1 species
GAUGAACGCUAGCGGGAGGCCUAACACAUGCAAGCCGAGCGGUAGAGAUUCUUCGGAAUCUUGAGAGCGGCGUACGGGUGCGGAACACGUGUGCAACCUACCUUUAUCUGGAGGAUAGCCUUUCGAAAGGAAGAUUAAUACUCCAUAAUAUAUUGAUUGGCAUCAAUUGAUAUUGAAAGCUCCGGCGGAUAGAGAUGGGCACGCGCAAGAUUAGUUAGUUGGUGAGGUAACGGCUCACCAAGACGAUGAUCUUUAGGGGCCUGAGAGGGUGAUCCCCACACUGGUACUGAGACACGGACCAGACUCCUACGGGAGGCAGCAGUGAGGAAUAUUGGUCAAUGGGUGCAAGCCUGAACCAGCCAUCCCGCGUGAAGGACGACUGCCCUAUGGGUUGUAAACUUCUUUUGUAUAGGGAUAAACCUACCCUCGUGAGGGUAGCUGAAGGUACUAUACGAAUAAGCACCGGCUAACUCCGUGCCAGCAGCCGCGGUAAU